AUUGAACGCUGGCGGCAGGCCUAACACAUGCAAGUCGAACGAGUGGCGCACGGGUGAGUAAUGUCUGGGAAACUGCCUUAUGGAGGGGUAUAACUACUGGAAACUGUAGCUAAUACCGCAUACCAUCAGAUGUGCCCAGAUGGGAUAAGCUAGUGGGAGGUGUAACGGCUCACCAAGGCGACGAGCCCUAGCUGGUCUGAGAGGAUGACCAGACACACUGGAACUGAGACACGGUCCAGACUCCUACGGGAGGCAGCAGUGGGGAAUAUUGCACAAUGGGCGCAAGCCUGAUGCAGCCAUGCCGCGUGUAUGAAGAAGGCCUUAGGGUUGUAAAGUACUUUCAGCGGGGAGGCGUUACCCGCAGAAGAAGCACCGGCUAACUCCGUGCCAGCCGCCGCGGUAAUUC
rnacentral:rRNA from 1 species